rnacentral:rRNA from 1 species
AUUGAACGCUGGCGGCAGGCUUAACACAUGCAAGUCGAACGAGUGGCGGACGGGUGAGUAAUGUCUGGGAAACUGCCUGAUGGAGUGGGAUAACUACUGGAAACGGUAGCUAAUACCGCAUACCAUCGGAUGUGCCCAGAUGUGAUUAGCUAGUUGGUGGGGUAAAGGCUCACCUAGGCGACGAUCCCUAGAUGGUCUGAGAGGAUGACAGGCCACACUGGAACUAAGACACGGUCCAGACUCCUACGGGAGGCAGCAGUGGGGAAUAUUGCACAAUGGGCGCAAGCCUGAUGCAGCCAUGCCGCGGGUAUGAAGAAGGCCUUCGGGUUGUAAAGUACUUUCAGCGGGGAGGCGUUACUCGCAGAAGAAGCACCGGCUAACUCCGUGCCAGCAGCCGCGGUAAUAC